rnacentral:rRNA from 1 species
GACGAACGCUGGCGGCGUGCCUAAUACAUGCAAGUCGAACGCACUCUCGUUUAGAUUGAAGGAGCUUGCUCCUGAUUGAUAAACAUUUGAGUGAGUGGCGGACGGGUGAGUAACACGUGGGUAACCUGCCCUAAAGUGGGGGAUAACAUUUGGAAACAGAUGCUAAUACCGCAUAAAACCUAACACCGCAUGGUGUAGGGUUGAAAGAUGGUUUCGGCUAUCACUUUAGGAUGGACCCGCGGUGCAUUAGUUAGUUGGUGAGGUAAAGGCUCACCAAGACCGUGAUGCAUAGCCGACCUGAGAGGGUAAUCGGCCACACUGGGACUGAGACACGGGCCCAGACUCCUACGGGAGGCAGCAGUAGGGAAUCUUCCACAAUGGACGAAAGUCUGAUGGAGCAACGCCGCGUGAGUGAAGAAGGUUUUCGGAUCGUAAAACUCUGUUGUUGGUAGAGAAUGUAUCUGAUAGUAACUGAUCAGGUAGUGACGGUAU